rnacentral:rRNA from 1 species
GAUGAACGCUAGCUACAGGCUUAACACAUGCAAGUCGAGGGGAAACGGCAUCGAAAGCUUGCUUUUGAUGGGCGUCGACCGGCGCACGGGUGAGUAACGCGUAUCCAACCUGCCCAUCACUUGGGAAUAACCUUGCGAAAGUAAGACUAAUGCCCAAUGACAUCCCACGAAGGCAUCCGAAUGGGAUUAAAGAUUUAUCGGUGAUGGAUGGGGAUGCGUCUGAUUAGCUUGUUGGCGGGGCGACGGCCCACCAAGGCAACGAUCAGUAGGGGUUCUGAGAGGAAGGUCCCCCACAUUGGAACUGAGACACGGUCCAAACUCCUACGGGAGGCAGCAGUGAGGAAUAGUGGUCAAUGGGCGAGAGCCUGAACCAGCCAAGUAGCGUGCAGGAUGACGGCCCUAUGGGUUGUAAACUGCUUUUAUAAGGGAAUAAAGUGGGUCACGUGUGACUUUUUGCAUGUACCUUAUGAAUAAGGACCGGCUAAUUCCGUG